GACAGAGGUGCCAAGCGUUAGGCGGAAUCACUGGGCUUAAAGCGUGUGUAGGCGGAUUUGUAAGUACCUUGUGAAAUCCCACGGCUCAACCGUGGAACUGCUCGGUAUACUGCUUAUCUUGAGCCACUUAGGGGCUACCGGAACAAAUGGUGGAGCGGUGAAAUGCGUAGAUAUCAAGAGGAACACCUGAGGUGAAGACGGGUUGCUGGGCUGACACUGACGCUGAGGCGCGAAAGCCAGGGGAGCAAACGGG
rnacentral:rRNA from 1 species